rnacentral:lncRNA from 1 species
GGGAAACCACUGGCCCAGCUCUGGGUUGCACCCCUCAGGGUCUUUGAGAGGCAUCAGGCUGAGGCAGGGAGCAGAAAAAAGCCUGUUUCUUUCAGGAGAAGCAGCAGAAAGUUCUAGGCUGCUGGGCCAGCUCCUAAGGGCAGAGCGCCUCACCUCCAUUUUGGGACCCUCUCACCAGACCUAGGCCCACCACCAGGCCUCCCAGUAGGAAAUCUUGGUAAAGCCAAUGUGCACCAGGGACUCUGCUGGGUUUGCCGUGUGUGUCUUCAUUGAAUCCUCCUGGCAACUCAGAGUAGGGGCAGGGAUUACCUCCAUUUUACACAGCAGAAAAUCCAGGCUCUGAGAGGCAGAACAAUAACCCACCAAAACUAGUGAGAGACAAGAUUUUCAGGGAGUGGGACCAGGUUGAAGAGAAUGAGGCACUUGCCCCAGCUACAAAUUUUAAGCGGCACCCCAAAAAAACAUUAGUAAUCAAGAUAAAUAACUUCUUUGUGCUAUAUAUUUUAAAAAUUAAAAUUAAUGCGAAACCCAAAAGAAUGAAAAGCAUAUGUCCACCCAAAGCUUGUACAUGGGUGUUCACAGCAACAUCAUUCAGGAUAGCCAAAAAAAUGGGGGAAACCCCACAAAUAUCCAACAACAGAAGAAUGAAUAAAGUGUGACGUAUCCGUGCAGUAGGAUAUUAUUCAAGCCAGGUAUGUGGCACACACCUGUAAUCCCAGCUACUUGGAAGACUGAGGCAGGAGGAUCACAAGUUCAAGGCCAACCUGGGCAAUUUAGUGAGACACCCUGUCUCAAAACAAAACAUGAAAAAGGGCUGGGGAUGUAGCUCUGUGGUGGAGCACUUGCCUAGCGUGCACAAAGGCCUGGGUUAAUCCCCUGUACUUGCCACAAAAGAAAAGUAUAUUAUUUGAUCUUGAAACACACUGCAACAUGGAUGAACCUUGAAUACAUUGUGCCAGGUGAAAGAAGCCCAUCACAAGAGGCCUCACUGCAUUUACAUGAAAUGUCCAGAGUAGGCAAAUCCAUAGAGAAAAAGUAGCUCCAUGGCUCCCCCAGGGGCUGGUGGGAGAUGAGAAUGAACAAAAUAUCAGACUUUUAAAUAAAGACUGGUGUUCUAACCCUCACCCACCCCUUCCCUCCUCCAGCCAAGAGCCUGACAGCGUUCCUCGAGUGUGCGUGCCCUGAGCCAGGCACAGAGGGUGUACUCCAUUUCAGGGAGAAGCGGUGGUGCUGAGGGGCUGUCCCCUACACUGCACCAUUUCUGACGGGGAUGGAUCUUUCAGGAGUCUGCAGAGCCAGCAGCUGGAAAACUCCCCAAAAGCCAAGCCAGGAGGGCAGAGAAGAAAGUCGGGUGCAGCAAGACUGUAAUCCCAGGCCUAGAAGCUGAGCCAGGAGGAUCGAAGAGUUCAAGACCAUCCUGGUCUACAUAGUUAAACCCUGUCUCAAAAAUACAAAUCAAACCAGACGUGAUGGCACAUGGCUAUAACCCUAGGCCUGGGGAGCCUGAGGCAGUAGGAUCACCACAAGUUCAAGGCCAGUCUGACUCAAAUAGUGAGAGACUGUCUCAAAAAGAAAAAAAAAGUAAAUAAAAAAUUUAAAGGAGCAGGUGGGGCCGGGGAUUUAGCUCAGUGGUUUCGCUGCCUGCUGCGCAAGCAGAAAGAAAGAAAGAAGAAAGAAGGAAAGAAAGAAAGAAAAAAAGAAAGAAAGAAAGAAAGAAAGAAAGAAAGAAAGAAAGAAAGAAAGAAAGAGGCUAGGUGUGCUGGCACAGACUUAUAAUCUCAGCUACUCGGGAGGCUGAGGAGAAGGAUGGUAAGUUCUAGGUCAAACUGGGCAACUUAGCAAGACCCUGUCCCAAAAAAAGGGGUAGGGAGGGCUGGGGAUGUAUUUCAAUGGUAGAGCGCUCCUGGGCUGAAUCCCCAGUAUCACACACACACAAAGAUCUAAAUUUAAAAUAAUUUCAAAUUAUAUUUAAUUUCAAUUUUAUUAUUCAUAUAGUUUUAAAUAAACUUAAAAUAAUUGUAAGUAAAUAUCUUCACCUGUUUUUUAGUUUUGCAGUACUGGGGAUGAAACCCAGGGCCUCUCACACACUAAGAAAGUGCUCUACCACUGAACUACAUCCCCAGCCCCAUUUGUUUGUUUGUUUGUUUGCUUGUUUUUGAGACAAGGCCUGGCUAAAUUGCCCAAAUUUGCACUCCUCCUGCUUCAGCCUCCAGAAUAGCUAAGAUUGUAAGUAUGCACAACCAUGCCUGGCUCUUUUUACUUUUUACAUGGUGCUACUGGAAAUCUUUAAAUUACAUGUUAAUUUUAGUUUGUAUCUAGGGGUGAAGUUCAUUAGUAGAGCACUUGCCUCACAUACAAAGGCCCCGGGUUCAAUUUCCAGCACUAUGACAUAGUAAAAUAAAAUUAUAUACGUGGCUACAUUAUUGGGUACCAUUACCCUAUGAUUUACUUAUGUAUUAUUCUGACUGUUUAUAACCUUACUUUCUUGUGCUAGAAUGUUAGCCCCACCAGGCAUGGUGGCACACACCUGUAAUCCCAGCACUUAGAAGGCUGAGGCAGGAGGAUCGCCUGUGAGUUUGAGGCCAGCCUGGCCUACACGGUGAGUUCAAGGCCAGGUUGAACUGCAUAGCGAGACCCUGUUUCAAAAAAAAAAAAAGAAGAAGAAGGUCAGCCCCACAAGGAAAGGGCUUUUUUCUGCCUUGUUCACUGCUAUAUCCCCAUGGCCUAGUGCAUUGCCUCAUGUGUACAUAGUAGAUGCUCAAUAAAUAUUCGUUAAAUGA